rnacentral:tRNA from 8 species
AAACCCGUCCGGGGGGGUUUAAGGGGUGCCGGGCCUGCCAACGUGGGCCGGUAGCUCAGCCUGGGAGAGCGCCGGCUUUGCAAGCCGGAGGCCCCGGGUUCGAAUCCCGGCCGGUCCACCACGAAGAGGUGCACAUCCCGAGCUCGGCUCGGGGUGGAAGGGCCUGAGACCCCGAACAGGGG